GACAGAGGCCCCAAGCGUUAGGCGGAAUCACUGGGCUUAAAGCGUGUGUAGGCGGUCUCAUAAGUCGGAUGUGAAAGCCCCGGGCUCAACCCGGGAAGUGCAUUCGAAACUGCGAGGCUAGAGUAUCGGAGAGGUUGGUGGAAUUCUCGGUGUAGAGGUGAAAUUCGUAGAUAUCGAGAGGAACACCGGUGGCGAAGGCGGCCAACUGGACGAAUACUGACGCUGAGACACGAAAGCGUGGGGAGCAAACAGG
rnacentral:rRNA from 1 species